CCCGCAACGAGCGCAACCCUUAUCAUUAGUUUGCUAACAUUCAGUUGAGAACUCUAAUGAGACUGCCAGUGAUAAACUGGAGGAAGGUGGGGAUGACGUCAAAUCAUCAUGCCCCUUAUGACCUGGGCUACACACGUGCUACAAUGGCCGGUACAAAGAGUUGCGAAACUGUGAAGUUAAGCUAAUCUCAUAAAGCCGGUCUCAGUUCGGAUUGUAGUCUGCAACUCGACUACAUGAAGUCGGAAUCGCUAGUAAUCGCGAAUCAGAAUGUCGCGGUGAAUACGUUCUCGAGUCUU
rnacentral:rRNA from 1 species